GAUGAAGAACGUAGCGUAAUGCGAUAAGUAAUGUGAAUUGCAGAAUUCAGUGAAUCAUCGAAUCUUUGAACGCACAUUGCGCCCGCCAGUAUUCUGGCGGGCAUGCCUGUUCGAGCGUCAUUUCAACCAUCAAGCCCCCGGCUUGUGUUGGGGACCUGCGGCUGCCGCAGGCCCUGAAAACCAGUGGCGGGCUCGCUAGUCACUCCGAGCGUAGUAAUACAUCUCGCUCAGGGCGUGCUGCGGGUUCCGGCCGUUAAAAAGCCUUAUUUACCCAAGGUUGACCUCGGAUCAGGUAGGAAGACCCGCUGAACUUAAGCAUAUCAAUAAGCGGAGGA
rnacentral:misc_RNA from 1 species